UUAAAAAGCAUUUUUAAAAGAGAUUUGAGGGAAAAUAUAGCCUGCCAGGACUCCAGAUCCACACCGAAGAGAAAAACAAAGAGGACAUCUCCACGUUGUAAAGACGCUGUAAUUUCGUUGUCUCCCGUGGGUUUUAUAAACUGCCGACGCUCCCUUGCCCGGUGGGACGGCCCGCAGGAGGCGGGGGCGGCCGUCGCGCGGCUGGGCGGCAGUGCGCAUGUGCCUGAAGCGCCGCAGCUCCCGCCCCAGCCUGCGCGCUCGGGUGGCUCGUCCGAGGUUUUAGAAAAUGUCAGUUGAUGAGUAAUAAUAUUUCUUAAACCUGAGCUCCUUUUGUUCAGUCUGUGUACUCAAAAGUUAAAGUCCCGAGUGCGUGAUGUAACGUGGGUACUUAGAGGGAAGAGCUGGAGAGAGGACUCAGCCCGAGCCGGUGCAGAGGCCGCUGGCCCCGCCGCGGAGCCCGGCCCGGCGUCCCGCCUGGGGGCCGCGAAGCCAGGCGACACCCUCAGCCGUCCUCAAGGAGACGUGCGCGGUCUUGUUGUUUUAAGUCACCAGGUCACUUCGUUUGAAUUUCAGUGUUGUGAAGAGAGGACACGAGGAAAGGGCGCAUUGCAGUUCGUUCCCUGCCUCCUUUCCCUGGUGUAAAGACUGAGGAGUGUGGGGUGGAGCUGUGAGGUCGGGCACCGCCUUUAUGUGUUUAAUUAUUCUUACCGAUCCAGUUCCUCUUGACGUUGGACAGCACAGUCUGUUGGCCAGUAAGUCACAAGAUAAUUUCUGAAGCAAACAACAAUAAAAAACCCACGAGUGUCUUGAUUUGAAAUUCUGUUUUUACUUUUGCCAUCAACAGUUCAGACAGUUGAAUUGGAUUGAGGUUGCAGGAUGCUUUGAAAGCCUUCAUGGAAAGGUGCAAGAAAUGUCUGCAGCCUCCUUGUGUGGCUGUGCCUUUCCAAUUGCUAGAAGAAAACAUCGUGUCCACGUUUCUCAAAGUGAACGGGAUUCACCCUGAAAAUGGCCACAGCGGCGGUUCUGAAUACCAGUCUGCUUAACCGACUUCCCCACUAAUAAGCAAAGAACUUACGAAACUUUCCAAAGUUUUCAAUUAGUUACCAUAACUUUUAAUUUAACAAGGAGAUUAAUAUUUUUUUAAUCCAAUUGUAUGUUGUAUUGCUUCAAUCAGGAAGACAGAAAGACUGUUUUUUUCUUUUCCCUUUUUUUUUUGUAAUCUUGUUUUUUUCCAUUUUCUCCUAGUGGGUUAACUUCCUCAGUUUGUUGGUGGAGGAUGCUGCCUUGCUCGGAUUAUCCUUAUUUCCAUGAUGAUGGGCUAAUAAAGGUCACAGUGGAGGCAGGUUUGUUCGAGGAUUGCCAUUUUCAGUACAGCUCCGUGUGCAUUCAACUGCAGCUGACUCUGUUUACGUCACUGAUAUCUUUACCCGCACUGCUGGCUUCAGCCAACUGCUUCUUUUGGAGCAGCCGAGACAGCAGUUCCUGUGUUUUCAGACGUGUUUAGCAGUUUGGGGAUCUGCCCAGCUGCUGAAGGACAGCAAAUAAUGGGCCAUAUUUCAGAAGGUGGAACUCAUGCACAACCUGCAAGUCAGUUUGAGGUUUUAGGUUAUUCGACUGUCAACUCUGCAGAUAAGCUGUGCAGCCAGUUGCAAGGCAAGAACUAGUAGUAGUCUUGAUAUUUUCUCUUAAUAAAAAGAAAAUCACUAUUGUUAAUUUAGCAUUUUUUAUCAUAGCACUUUCAGAAAGCUUUUAAAAAUUAACCCUCUGAGCUAGCUCUGAUGACGUGGUGGUUAAAGUUCCGCAUGCUCCACUU